rnacentral:rRNA from 1 species
UACGUAGGGGGCUAGCGUUGUCCGGAAUCAUUGGGCGUAAAGCGCGUGUAGGCGGUCCGGUAAGUCCGCUGUGAAAGUCGGGGGCUCAACCCUCGAAUGCCGGUGGAUACUGUCGGGCUAGAGUGCGGAAGAGGCGAGUGGAAUUCCUGGUGUAGCGGUGAAAUGCGCAGAUAUCAGGAGGAACACCAAUUGCGAAGGCAGCUCGCUGGGACGGUACUGACGCUGAGACGCGAAAGCGUGGGGAGCAAACAGG